GAUGAACGCUGGCGGCGUGCCUAAUACAUGCAAGUCGAGCGAACAGACGAGGAGCUUGCUCCUCUGACGUUAGCGGCGGACGGGUGAGUAACACGUGGAUAACCUACCUAUAAGACUGGGAUAACUUCGGGAAACCGGAGCUAAUACCGGAUAAUAUAUUGAACCGCAUGGUUCAAUAGUGAAAGACGGUUUUGCUGUCACUUAUAGAUGGAUCCGCGCCGCAUUAGCUAGUUGGUAAGGUAACGGCUUACCAAGGCAACGAUGCGUAGCCGACGUGAGAGGGUGAUCGGCCACACUGGAACGGAGACACGGUCCAGACUCCUACGGGAGGCAGCAGUAGGGAAUCUUCCGCAAUGGGCGAAAGCCUGACGGAGCAACGCCGCGUGAGUGAUGAAGGUCUUCGGAUCGUAAAACUCUGUUAUUAGGGAAGAACAAAUGUGUAAGUAACUAUGCACGUCUUGACGGUACCUAAUCAGAAAGCCACGGCUAACUACGUG
rnacentral:rRNA from 1 species